CAUUUCCUCCAGCCCCUUCAUCUAACAGGAGAGGAAGUCAAGGCCUAGGGCAGGCCUAUUCAGCAUCAGCAGUGGGCUCUGAAUUCACAUCCCUGGACUCCCUGGUCAAGGUUCUUUCUGUGGUAUCCCUCCUUAGCCAGCCUGGCUAAAGGUUGUGAGAAAUGAAGGCUCUGCUAAUUAUCCUAUUUGCUGUCAUCUAUUUAAAGGAGGACCUCUUCAGAACUCAUUCAUUGGCAAGGAAAUCAGUUCGACCCAUCAUGUGCUAUGACUGCCUAAGGAAUAAAAGUACCGAAUGUCUGGAGACUGAAGUAUGUAACAGCACUUCAGGUUACUGCCAUUUAAUCGUCUAUGAAGAAAGUGGCACACGGCAUAUAAAAAAAACCUGUGCAACCAACUGUGGGUUCCCUACAUCAAGUUUCAUUGCUUCAGAGAAGUAUACUGCAAUGUGCUGUUCUUUUGACUACUGCAAUAAACUAAAUGAGAUUCAAAACAAGCAACAAAAGGAUCAUGCCAGCACGCCAGUAUUAGGCUUCACCACUAGUCUCCUCUGGGCCCACUUUGGUAUCAUACUGCAAUAUAUUGGUGCCAGGUUGCAAGAUUGAAACUUCCCUUCCAAAUCUCAUCACAUUCUUCUCAGACUCUAUGGCUUUGCAAUUGGCCCCUCAAAAUCCCUUUGGUAAAUAUGUCCAUAGUUUUGAAUCCUGGUUCUGCUAUUUCCUUUGCUAGCUGUGUGACUUUGGGAAAGUAACUUCAUCUCUCUGGGCCUCAUUUUUUCCCUUGAGAGAAUGGAGCAAGACCUGGGGAUAGUUUCUAAGGUGUCAUAUAGCUUUAAAGCCUAUGAUCCCACCACAUUGUUUUGAGGAAUCUGCCUUUUACUCUAAUUCAAUCUCUCUCACUGGGUAGGUUUUGAAGCUCAUUCCUGGAGUGAAGAGAGAAUCACAAAAUCACACAGUGAUUUUUUAAAAAGGUCUUGGGUUUUCAUCCUGCUUUAACAAAAACUGACAUUCCAUAUGAUAGAAGGAAAAGUUACCAGUCCUCUGCUCUUCCAUAUGAGAAAUAGGGACAUCUGUGGCUUCCCACCCAUACUUGGGGAACUCGUGGGAAGCUUCAAAAUGAAAUCAGUGAAUCAGAUGCAUAAACAUCUGAAUGUUUGGAAUGUAAGAUCUCAUCCUUCAGGAACAGUCUCUCUGGAAACCUAGGUUACAGGCUAGAAGUUAUCAAGACCUUGGGGCUUACUAAUAAUCACAGACCUUUUUGGAGUACUUGAUAAAGUUCUGUCUUUGCAGUAGCCUUGAGAGGGCAGGGAGUGCAGUCAUCCCUGUUUUAUAGAGGAAGAAACUGAGGCUUACAGGGUGAAAUCAUUGCCCAGAAACAUAGCUAGUCAGUGUGGGCACUUAGAUUUCAGUUUAGGCCCCUCACCAUCAAGUCUAGUAUUCUUGCUCCCAUUGCACACUGCUUAUCAACCCAUCAAUUCAUGUUUUGUAAAUACAUUUGUUUGUUUAUUGGUCCUGUUUGGAUUUAUAUUUUCCAGUGAAAGUGCAGGUGAAGACAGUCUGACAGACACUGAUUCAGGCUUUCUGUAUCACCAUGUGCCUCUGUCUGGCUUGAGAUGCUGCCCUUUUAGUUGUUUGUCAGCUCAGCCCUGGAGUGGCCCCAUCUCAUUGUCCACUUCCUGGGGAUUCCCUUUGUCUUUUCUUCCCCAGGGGAUCUCUAUGUUCUGAGAAUUGUCUUUGCUCUUCAGACAUUUCCUUUUUUAAGAAAUAAAAUAUUGGCUUUUCAAUUGAUCA
rnacentral:lncRNA from 1 species